GCCGGGUGCGGUGGCCGCACCUGUGAUCCCAGCAACUUGGGAGGCUGAGGCAGGAGGACUGAGGCCAGUCAGGCUGGGAAACUUAGCAAGACCCUGUCAA
rnacentral:sRNA from 1 species